AUGGCAGAACAGAAAAAUAUGCCAAAUGCGUUACGAGAUAAAGUUAAAGAUGUGGCUGAGCUGAUUAAGAUUGUGCAGCAGAUUGCCAUUUUAAUUGGAUGCGUUGGGUUGCCCCAUCUGAGGUCUCUUGUUGAAAUUAUAGAGCAUGGUAUAAGUGAUGAGAAUCAGAAGGUACGAAUGAUCACUGCAUUGUCUCUUGUCGCGCUUACUGAAGCUGUUGCGCCUUAUGGUAUUGAAAGUUUUGACCCAUGUUGA